CCUACGGGCGGCAGCAGUGAGGAAUAUUGGUCAAUGGGCGGGAGCCUGAACCAGCCAAGCCGCGUGAGGGAAGAAGGUACAGCGUAUCGUAAACCUCCUUUGUCAGGGAACAAAGGCGGGGACUAGUCCCCGGAUGAGGGUACCUGAAGAAAAAGCAUCGGCUAACUCCGGGCCAGCAGCCGCGGUAAUACGGAGGAUGCGAGCGUUAUCCGGAUUUAUUGGGUUUAAAGGGUGCGCAGGCGGCCGGUUAAGUCAGGGGGAAAAGCCCGGGGCUUAACCCCGGCGAGCCGUUGAAACUGGCGGGCUGGAGUUGGAGAGAAGGACGCGGAAUGCGCGGUGUAGCGGUGAAAUGCUUAGAUAUCGCGCAGAACCCCGAUUGCGAAGGCAGCGUACCGGCUCCACACUGACGCUGAGGCACGAAAGCGUGGGUAUCGAACAGGAUUAGAUACCCCGGUAGUC
rnacentral:rRNA from 1 species